GUGCUUACUUUGGCAGUACAUAUACUAAAAUUGGAACAAUAUAGAGAAAAUUAGCAUGGCCCCUGUGCAAAGAUGACAUGCAAAUUUGUGAAGGGUUCCAUAUUUUU